rnacentral:tRNA from 1 species
GCUCUUCUAGUAUAUUUAUUACAAGUGACUUCCAAUCUCUAAAAUCUGGUCCCAAACCAGAGAAGAGCAA